CAAAGGGAACUACGUGGAGCUUCUUUCUUUUCUUUCUGAAAGCAACACAGAUUUACAAUACCACCUGUCCACUAACAAAGUGUUCAUUGGGACGUCAGGCAAAAUACAAAAUGACCUAAUUUAUGCUAUUGCUGAAGUGAUGGGAGAAGAGAUCAAAAUGGAGAUUAAAAAAGCUCCCUUUGUUGCGGUUAUGGUGGACGAGACAACAGAUGUGGGGAAUGCAGCACAGCUCUCACUCGUCCUGCGUUAUGUGACAGACACAGGAGUCAAGGAGCAAUUUAUCCGAUUUGAAGAUGUGACGAGAUGAUGACAUUGCCGCUCUUAUUUUCCGUUUCUUGGAGGAAAAUGAAUGUAGUCUGGAUAAAGUUGUGGCACAGUGUUUUGAUGGCGCAGCAGUCAUGGCAUCUGGACUCAAUUGGGGUGCAGGCUAAAGUUAAGGAGAGGGCCUUAUUCAUUCACUGUUAUGCACAUCGACUAAAUUUAGUACUGACUCAAGGAGCCUCAAAGCUUAACCACUUACUGGAACAUCAUGAUGACCAUGACGGGGAUACUGUGCUUAUGGCUGAAGGAUUUAAUGCACGUUUGGAUGAUUUUGAGUUUUGUUUUUUGCUUGAAACAUUCAAUGGGAUUUUUAAUUAUUCGGAUGUGCUUUUUGCAAUUCUACAGAAACAAACUUUGGAUGUACAAUUCUGCCUGACAAGGGUGAACGAGUUGUGACACAAUUGAGCGAGAGAGGCGCAGGUUCAGUCAAAUCUACGAUGACACAGCGCACAUCUCAAGUUCACCCAGCGCACGCAGAGGCCCAGCACAAGGAGACCACGAAAAAUUAAUGUUUCUCUCCCUCCUGGACCCCCAGCACUUUCAGACCUACUGGAAAAAAAUCCCGCAAAACAGCCUUCUCCAGCUUAACAGAGUCACGGAACACUGUUCGACCUAUCCAAGCUAAAAACAGAACUGACUGUAAUGUAUGCUAUGACUGAUUUUGAAGUGAAAAGUCCCUCUGAUCUCCUUGAUUUACUUAAGCAGAAAAAUCUGAAUGAGGACAUGGGGCAAUUUUACACAUUGGCAUGUGUGACAGUGACUAUCCCUGUGUCCACGGCUUUUGUCGAGCGGUCAUUCUCGGCCUUAAAGCGAAUCAAAACGUAUUCCAGAAAUGCUACUGGACAGACCCGGCUUUCAGCAUUAGCCUCCAUGUCGAUAGAAAAGGACUUAUUGGUGGAACUAAAACGCACAGAUAGACUGUACAACAGAGUCAUUGAAGUCUUCUUGAGGAAAGAAAGGAGGAAGGAUUUUGUGUUCAAAUAAUCAGUCUUUGCUGGAUGACCUACAGAGCUGGCAGACUUUGAGCAAGAGGGAAGUCAAUCCGGAUUGGAACAGAGGAUCCUGGGGCAUGGAGACAGUGGUGUGGUGUAUAGAGCGGGGAGCGGGCGCCCAUGUGCUGACUUUUUACUCCAGCGGGGGUUUGUCAGCACAGGUUGGCCCGACACAGGAGUCGGUUUCAGAGGGUUGCUUAGGCAACGAGGUGGAAGACACUCAGUUGUGAAGAAAGACCGCAAAAGUGACUUUGGGGCGUUGACAAGGAGGAGAAAUCUGCCAGUGGUCUCAAGAGACAUUUUAUAUUGACCUACUACCAGGACUAACAAUAUUUAUAAUCACCUUGGGAACUUAAGUUUUUUUUUUUUUUUUCAGACGCAGUGUGCCAGAACAAAGUUAUCUAACAAAUUAGUUAUAGUCUACCAGUCAUGGGGGAAUAAAAAAAAAUGCAUGGAAGUCCAGUCUUUUCUAUUCCAGAAGGUUCAAUUCAAAAUUGUAUUUGUAACAAGCGCCGAAUACAACCUUACCGUGAAAUGCUUACUUAAAAGCCCUUAACUAACAAAGCAGUUCAAGAAAUAGAGUUAAGAAAAUAUUUGCUAAAUAAACUGAAGUAAAAAAAUCUAAUAAAAAGUAAUACAAUGAAAUAACGAUAACUAGGCUUCAUACAAGGGUACCGGUACCGAGUCAAUAUGCGGGGGUAUAGGUUAGUCAAGGUCAUUUGUAUAUGUUCAGAAGAGUGUGUUGUCAUUCGACAUUAAAGAGAGAGGUUCCCCUGAACUGGAAAAUUGCAAAUAAGUGAAGAACAUUCAAAGACGCAUGAAGAUAGAAAGUCAAGGGUAUAGAUGAGGAAGGAGGAAUAUUUUCACCCUGAUGGGUUAUUGCUUGUCUGAUGAACCCUUAUCCUCCUCCCCAUGUCUUUGGCUGACGAGGAGGAGGCUACUGUGAGAGGCAGUGAUUCAGAAAGUGCUAAGUGAUCUAAAUGCCUGGGCUUAUGUCACGGAGGGAGGAAGGAUGAACGUGGCGGCGAGUAGUGUUUAAUCGGGAGUUCACCUCUCACUCAUAGAGACUCAUGCGGUACACAUCCACAGGUGUUGGGAGAGGCGCGCGUGUGUGUGUGUGUGUUGUCGCUCUUGAUCUUAACCAGCUGUGAAGAAUGGCGACGGUGUGGCCAUCCUUGCUCAUCAGAUAAAAUGAGGACCUGGCCUGGGCAGUGGAGGCUGCUGAGGGGACGACGGCUCAUAAUACUGUCUGGAAUGGAGUCAAUGGAAUGGUAUCCAACACGUGAUUGAUACCAUUCCAUUUACUACAUUCCAGGCAUUAUUGCGAGCUGUCCUCCCCUCAGCAGCCUCCCCUUGGCCUGGAGUUUGUCCUAAUAUUCUAGGAUGGCUCCUAUAACUGUGUUGUAAACUGUUAUGAUGAAAUCAAGUGACGUGCCCCACUAAAUGUGGUAUGAUAUACAUUUUUCUGCUAUGACAUGGACUAAAAUGUAGAAAAACUCAACUUUUUGCAUGGAAUGUGCAUUUUCCAACACAUCACAUCAAAUAACAAUGCCAGUUGAAUGAUCACUAGUCAACAUUAAGAACAGUACUUUUUUUAUUUUUUUAUUCCCCUCAUGCAGAAACUUUCUCAGUCUUCAUAGAGGGUCUUCAAAGUUCCCGCACAAAUUGUGUGGGGGGCAGUUAUGGGGACAUCGCAGAAACAUUUACACUGAUAAAGUGUCACUCAACAAACGUGUGCGUGUGGGUGGUCAGGCUAUUAGAACACAAUAGUCUUCCCACCAUCAGCACCACUCCUCCAGGCAACAAUGCUAUGUAGGUAGACGCUCCUCGAACCUUCAAGAGGAGAAGGACGGAGAGAAGCACCAUGCUGUGGUGAUCAAACGACUCCCUCCAAUCCUGGAGAUCAGUACUUUAAGACUUCCUCAGGCUGUCACGCAAACUGCUGACGCGGACAAACGCCGCUCUGUCAGCUAUUGUAGAGGAACACGGACUUCCUCCUAGACAGACGUACAGCCGCCCGCCGCCGCUGCUGCUGUUGUUACUGUUGGGCUGCACUCUCAUUUGCAAUAGAAAGAAGGAGUAAGAGAUGCUUUUUUUAUUUCAGGACUCCAUAAUAUUCCAUGUUUUGUCCUACAGGCAUUUAACAUCCAUUAAAUGAAGUAGUUAUCUGUCAUGUGUGCACGCAUGACCGUAAGUCGCUUUGGAUAAAAGCGUCUGCUAAGCGGCAUGUAUUAUAUUAUAUAUUAUGCUGGAAGAUAACUUUUAUAAAUAUUCUUCCGUUAGUGUGCUACAACCACUUGGUGAGAUGAGGCCUGAGGAAGUGAAUGUGUCACUGAAUCUUUUCGGUAUGUCUUUAUACGCUGAUGGAACGGUUCACUUGUUCUGCCCUAUAAAGUUGAUCCUCCCUUCCGGGUCUUCACACUCAUCAUAUUUUCUAACCAGGUUCUCACACACCCACAACUAAUCACCCAUGCUCCGAAAACAAAUAUUAAUAUCUAAUAUUAUUCUUUUGUUCUAUUGAGUGAAUAAUGCAUACACCAGCUAAGUUCAUUAUCUUCAAGGGUGGCCUAUUAAUGUAUGAAUAAAAUCAAUGAUAAUAUGCCA